GAUUGAACGCUGGCGGCAUGCCUUACACAUGCAAGUCGAACGGUAACGGGCCUUCGGGUGCCGACGAGUGGCGAACGGGUGAGUAAUGCAUCGGAACGUACCUUUCAGUGGGGGAUAACGUAGCGAAAGUUACGCUAAUACCGCAUAUUCUGUGAGCAGGAAAGCAGGGGAUCGCAAGACCUUGCGCUGAUUGAGCGGCCGAUGUCAGAUUAGCUAGUUGGUGAGGUAAAGGCUCACCAAGGCGACGAUCUGUAGCGGGUCUGAGAGGAUGAUCCGCCACACUGGAACUGAGACACGGUCCAGACUCCUACGGGAGGCAGCAGUGGGGAAUUUUGGACAAUGGGGGCAACCCUGAUCCAGCCAUGCCGCGUGAGUGAAGAAGGCCUUCGGGUUGUAAAGCUCUUUCGGCCGGGAAGAAAUCGCAUGGGUUAAUACCCUGUGCGGAUGACGGUACCGGCAUAAGAAGCACCGGCUAACUACGUG
rnacentral:rRNA from 1 species